UGAUCCCAAGGGUUGGAUUCUUUGCAAGUGUGAUUCGCUCUGAAAAGUGAGCUGAGAGUGUUGGACAUUUUGGCACAAAUCAAAAAAAUAGGAAAAGUAUUUUGCCAUCUUUGCUCCACUCUGCAGCCUGCUGAGCUUCUGCAGCUACAGAGACUGACCUCUGCACUGUCAGCUGUGUGCACUGAUGUUUUAACUGAGCCUUUUAACCUUGUUUUCUAUAUUUAGUUUGGGGUCUCUCAAUGAAAAGGCAUUACUGACCUUAUUUAAGGUAUUUUUCCUGCAGUCUAUAGUCUGUUGAAUAGGAAUGUAAAAGGUCUCUAAUGGUUUGCUGUGUUAGUGCCCCUGUGAUUAGCUGACUGCUACUCCCCUGCUCCUUUGUACAAGGCAGAGCCACAGCCCUCAGCAGCUGAGAAGGGUGUAAUCCCUAGCAAUCCUUUAACAAUGCAAAUGGAAAAGCUCCUGGUAAAUGUUUCUCUAUUUUUUUUAGAAGUUGCUCUCAUCCAAAUAUUUGGGUUUCUGGCUCGUCCUAUGGAUGGCAGCCCGAUGCUCUUUUUCCAAUGUUUGAGAAGAGCCACAUUUUUGUCUUGGAGGGGCUGUUAUUUACAUGGAAAAAUGUCGUAUGUUCGUUCCCAGUCUUCUUCCCACAGAAUCAGCCAAGGAAGUCUCACCGAAAAAACAAUGUGCAUUUCUCUUAAAUGUUUCUCUCAGUUUCUUGCUCAACAACAUCCGUUCAAAUCACUGGUUAACUACACAAAUAUUCAAUUUCCAAAUGUUUGGCCACUUUCCUGUUUUGAUAUCAGAAGGUAAAAAUGUCACCGGCACAUCUUCUGCCCUGUAUGGGAAAGACUCCACUACAGGAGAUCUGCUUGAGUGGGAACACCCAAGCACUUGGAGAGUUCCUCAAAGUGCAGCUCCAAGAAACAAGGAGUCUGUGGGUUGGACUUGCACAUCCUUGUGCAUGAUCACUGCAGACUGCUGGAGAGCUGCUGCAUGUGGCAGAGCACUGAACGCAGGGUGUUGAUCCACAUCUGUUCUCAGAUGAAUGCUGCCUGGCACUGUCACAGCAUCGAUGUUUUGCCUAACAGAUAAAUGCAAACCUUGGGAACGCUGGAUCAGCACUCACAGCACAAAGAUGUUUUGGUGCAGCAAUUGACAGGGUGUCACAACAACUCCUAAAGUUCUGAUUCGGUCUCUUGUGGAGAAAAUUUGCAUUUCGUGCAUCCCAAAGCCCUCACUGACUGAUCUGUUUGCUUCAGAAUCCAGUUUGAAAUUGUACUCCUUGUUUUUCAAACCACACCCUUGCUCCUUGGACUUCUUUCCAGCUUGUCUCCUGGAGACGGCAGAGUCUGCCCCUUUCCUCCCCUCUGCCUCUUCUCUCUCCUUCCAACAAACUCCUUGCUGCUGAGUCAAGAACUGUCUUCUAUCAUUGUCUCCCAUCCAGAACUGUCCCUUGUCCUACAGUCCUUCAUUUUACUGCAAAGUUCCAUUCAAAUAAUGCUCUUUUCUCCUGGAAUUCAAUUAUCCUUUUCCAUCUGUUCUUACUGAAUGCAUAACUCUGGGUCAUACCAAGCACUCUGAGGCUCUGGAUGAGUUUUCUCUGUGGUAUUUGUAAGUCAUUGUGCAAGCUCCUUAGAGCAGGCUGGUAAAAAUUGUAAUGUUUUUGAAGAAGUUAUUUGAAAUGUAAAGAUUAUGUUGCAGAGUUGCUUAACAUGUAACUGUUUAAUGUCUAAUUCAUUCUUUGACAGGAGAAUGUUGUUGUAUGUGCUUAGCAUUUCAAGACAGUCCUGUUCUGGUGAAUUUUACUCUUGACAUGUUCUUGAUAAAGGUCACUUUAUGAAUUUAGUUCAGUAUAUAAAGCCCCAUCCUGUAUUCCCUGCACAUGAAAGCUCUGCUGGAGAUCAUCAUCUCCAUCAGCAGAUUCUGAUAGCAUUUAAUGUCCAAGUGAACAGGAGUGUCUGGAGGCAGUAGCAGUGCAGGCUGGAGGUGUUUAUGUUCCCCACAGAGAAUGCCAUGGUGAUACACAAUUUACCUGCAAUGUGCAAACAGUAUGCUUGUCUUGCCUUCCAGGAGCAUUUCCAUUUGAAGGAGCCAUUUCUGUCCAUGGGCAGGACACCAACAUCGAUGCUCUCUGGGCAUUCACAGAGUUGUUUGCUCCUCCCUGGGCACUGGUGUUCUUCAGGCUUUGCAACACAGUCAGUUUUGAGACCACUGGCCAAAUUCAGCCAUAUGUGAUGGAGAGGACCAAGCUCAAAGAUACCGGAUUCCAGCAAGUUUUAUGAAAAUAGGCAGCCAGAAUGGAGAGACUUUUAUUUAGAAGGAAUGGCUGAAGUGGGAGUUCAGCCUUUACUGGCAAAUCUAUGAAGCAGUCAGUGCAAAUCAUGAAAAAAAAAUCUCUGACCAAGGAAUCAGCUUCAUAAUCCUGACCCUUGAGACAUGUGGGGCAGCAGAGACACUCCCUGGAGAUCUCUUGGGAUCAUUAACGCAGCCAGGCUGACUCAGCAGUACAUCUACAUGUGCCCAACUGCAAAAAUAUAAGGAAGCUUAAUGAUUUUAAUGUGGUACUCAACAUAAAUACACACCUGUUUCCUAAAUAAGUACAUUCCUAAUUUAAGGCUCCAGUGUCUUGCUGUUUAAUGCACCCAGACCCCACUGCUCUGUCAUUGCCAAUAGCUGCUGGUGUCCAGUAACACAUGGAAACCAGCAAGGUGGGGCUGUGUCCCACAGAAGAGCUGCUUUGGUGUCCAGUAACACAUGGAAACCAGCAAGGUGGGGCUGUGUCCCACAGAAGAGCUGCUUUGGUUGUCCUCUUCAUCCUACCUCACCUGGACACAGGUGAAGCCCUCGUGUUCCUGGCAGGCUGCCACUGUAAACCCAGCACAGCUGGCAUGAGUGGAGAGUAAGACCUCAAUAUUGCAUUUCAAAAACUGAUUAGUAGAGCAGGUGAUUGAAAAGAAGGUGUUUGUUCAGCUUGUGGAGAUUGUGGAAAAGAAAACAGCUCCAGAAAUCCACAGUGGAAAUGUUACAGCAGUCGGGUACAUCAGAUUCCUGUAAAUGAGCUUCCCUCCCUCCACCUUUGGCUGCAAGGAUGAAGGUCUUAGACUUGACAAGCACUCGAAAUCCAGCUCAACAGAAAGCCAUUCAAAAGGGUCAAGAGCAAGGAUUCGUGCAGUAAA